rnacentral:tRNA from 1 species
GGCGGGGUAGCUCAGUGGUAGAGCAGCGGACUCAUAAGCCGUUGGUCGGGAGUUCAAAUCUCCCCCCCGCUACCA